AGAAGUGAGGGCAAUCUCACUGUGACAUCUGUCUCCCCACUGAUCACCAAGGUUGAUUCGGCUGAUCCGUCUGGCUCGACAGGUGUCCCCUUCCUCCCUCAUGGCUCCAUGUACAUCCUUUCCAAAGAUGCAUGCUCAGUUGAAGAAGACAACCUUCCCCAAUAGAGGACCAUUCUUCGGUCAAGGUUAUACAAUUAGCUGUGCUCCCCUGCUAGAACCUCCAAACAAGCUCUCAAGAAACUGAAGUAGACACAAACAAAUGGAAAGACAUCCCAUGCUCUUG
rnacentral:snRNA from 1 species